GCCAGCAUGGUGAAGUGGUUUGAGUGCUAGAAUAUCAUUCUGAAGACCAGGGUUCAAAUCUCUGUUCAAGCA